rnacentral:rRNA from 1 species
GACUUCCGAAGUAACUCUUUUCUUUCCAUCCUUCUAAAAAGGGCUCUACGACUAGACCAUUCAAGACGACUUUCCUCGUCACUUACCUGCAAGACUUCGUUAUCCAUCGCGAGGGAGCAGCAAGACCAGUCACUCCUUCAGCAAACAACAGCCGGGUUUUCUUCCCCAAGAGGGUUUCCCGGGAGCCUCCUUCCAGCACCCGUGUUGGAAGGUGCGAUAAGAGGGCUUCCGGUAAACUUUCUCACUCUCCUAAAAACCGUAGACAAGGUAGGAAGUUUCUUGUUGUUGCGUGCAAGGUUGUUUUUUGGUGUUUCUCCAGACGAAUAAAAGAAACAUGGCUAUAGAGCAGUGUAUAGCCUUGGCAGAUAUUGCUGGGAGAUGGAGCAUGAGCGUGUGUGAUAGGACCCGAAAGAUGGUGAACUAGGCCUGGUGGAGGUCCGUAGCGGUCCUUAUAUGUAAAACGGUUGUCCGACCUUGGUAUAGGGGCGAAAGACUCAUCGAACCAUCCAGCAGCUGGUUCCCUCUGAAGUUUCCCUUGGGAUAGCUGGCGCACGGAAACCCCAGUUUUAUCUGGUAAAGUGAAUGAUUAGAGGUCUUGGGGCCAAAAUGAUCUCAACCUAUUCUCAAACUUUAGAUGGGUAAGAAGCCUGGCUCUCUGGCGUGGAGCCGGCCAUUGAAUGCAAGUGCCCAGUGGGCAACUUUUGGUAAGCAGAACUGGUGCUGCAGGGUGAACCGAACGCCGGGUUAAGGCGCCCAAUGCCAACACUCAUCAGACCCCAGAAAAGGUGUUGUUUGAUAUAGACAGUAGGACAGUGGCCAUGGAAGUCGGAAUCCGCUAAGGAGUGUGUAACCACUCACCUGUCGAAUCAACAAGCCCUGAAAACGGAUGGUGCUGGAACAUCGGGCCCAUAUCCGGCCAGUGCUGAGAGCUGUGGGGGCUAAGCCACAACGAGUAGGAGGGCCGCUGCGGUGCGCACAGAAGCCUCGGCGAGGGCCCGGGUGGAGCCGCCACAGGUGCAGAUCUUGGUGGUAGUAGCAAAUAUUUAAACGAGAACUUUGAAGUCUGAAGUGGAGAUGGGUUCCAUGUGAACAGCAGUUGAACAUGGGUCAGACAGCCCUACGAGAUGGGAGAGCGCUGUUCGGAAGGGACGGGCGAUGGCCUCCAUUGCCCUCAGCUGAUUGAAAGGGAGUUGAGUUUAGAUCCCCGACCCCAGAGUGGCAGAAGUAGGCGCCCUUGCAGCAUCCAGUGCAGUAACGCAAAUGAUCCCGCAGAAGCCGGCAGAAGCCACAGGGUGAGUUCUCUUUGUUUUUGAAGGGCAUGGCACCCUGGAAUGGGUUCCUUCCAAGAGAGGGGCCCGAGCCUUGGAAAGCAUUGUGUUCUGGCGGCGUCCGGUGAGCUCUCGCUGGUCCUUGAAAAUCUGGGGGAGAUGGUGUAAAUCUUGCGCCGGGCCAUACCCAUAUCCGCAGUAGGUUUCCAAGGUGAGCAGCCUCUGGCAUGUUGGAACAAUGUGUCAU